CUGCAGGUCGCCGUCUCUUUAAAAAGCCCCUCCCCCUCAGGGGUUUCAUCUCAGGGGCGGGGCUUACUGAGCUUUUCCUGGUCCCUGUUGGACAGAGGUGGACUGUGAUUGGCUGGGAGGAAGAUUUCCUGUGUUGAUUCAAAGAGGAGGAGAGGAAAAGGAGUUUGUAACGGAGGAAACAGGAGCAGAUAUGGUUACUGUGAAGUGACAGAGACGAAGACGAGAAGCAGGAAGAAGAGGAGGUCAGCAGCUCCCGUGGAGGACAGACCAGACUGAUCUGAGAACAGCCCAUGUGACCACUGAGCUGUUGCAGGAUGAGCAGGAUGCAGAGUGAGCUUGAGGGUCGCCUUGACAACCUGCUGUCACGCAUCGCCGCGGAGACACAGGAGAUCAAAGAGCUGGAGCAGCAGCUGACCGACGGUCAGAUUCUGGCUAACGAGGCCCUGCAGAGGGAGCUGGAGGAGGUGAUCUCUGGACUUCAGGAGUACCUGCGAGGACUCAGGGAGCAGGCUCACCGCUCUCAGCAGCAGGUACACACUCUGCAGGCUGAAAAUCUGAGUCUGCAGCUCCACCUGGAGGAUGCUCAGAAGCACUGCAGACAGCUGGAGGACUUAGCCAUGUCUCACACACAGAGCAUGUCUGUCCAGCAGGGGGAGCUGUUUGCACUCAGGAUGGAGGUGCAGGCUCUCAGGGAGAGACAAGUGCAAAGCAGCAGACACCAGGCACAGCUGGAGGUGGAGCUUCAGCAGCUGAGGGAGGAGCUAAGUCAGCAGGUGCCGCUGGGACAGGAAGACGUCCACAGACUUCCGGCUCAGCUCUCAGGUCCAGCGGAGGCGCGGCAGGAAGAUGAAUCCCGGCCUGAGGCGAGCAGCCCCGUCAGGCCUAACCUCACACUGCCCAGAUGCUGGCAUCAGCGCUCCGGGACCAUCCAGCAGACCAGGACCACCACGGCUCACAAGCACAGCCGGGAACACAAGAGCAGACCGCAGGCCCGGCCGGAAGCCUGGCUGGACCGGGACCAGGUGGAGCCCUUUGAGGAGCCGGAGGAGGAGGUGCAGAGGAGUCAGAGCAGGCACAGACUCCUGCAGAACAGUCUGCUACGCUCACAGAGCGACGCCCACCAGAGGAGCCUCGGCCACCUCAACAGGAAGUUACGGCGGCUCAGCAGGUCCACGCGCAACACCGAUCAGCUGACUGUGGAACAGCUGAAAUUCACCAUCGAACUGCUGAGAGGGCUGAACCAGCUGCUACACACACAGGAAUCUGUGGACGAGCAGGACGGAGACGCUCACUGGGACCAGGACCUGCCAUCCCCCAAGGCCGAGCCGUCCGAGGCUCGCAGGCAAAAGCUGGACCGGGUGAGAAGCAGGACUGGAACCAGGACUGGGGCCGGUGCUGAGGAUGGGGGACGGUGGUUUGUGCAUGCUGGACUCAGUGGAGGCAGGUGUGUGUGUGAUCACAGUGAAGCAGAGAAGAAGAGGCUACAACCGGAAACCAGAGAGCUGCGACACACACUGAGACAACACAGGAGUGUCAUGAAGCUGUGUGAUGAGGUGGAGUGUGUGGAGAAAACUCUGCUGAAGAGACGAGCGGAGCUGCGAGAGGCCGACAGGAAGCUGCUGGAGGCUCAGAGCUGCAUACAGACCAGCAGAGUCCAGGCCAACGAAGCUCAGCGAGACGCUGCUGCGCUGCAGCUCAGAGGGGAGGACAAACAACGUGCCAGGGAGCUGCAGGAAGAGGUGGAGCAGCUGAGGAGGAUGAGGGAGGAGAAAGAGCAGAUGCUCAGGCAGGUGGAGGAGGAGCUGAGGAGCAGAGAGGAGGAGCUCCAACAGCUCAACAGGGAAAUACAAACAGCCAGAGACACACUCGCUGACCUGCUGUCUGACUGUGUGGAGGCUCAGGGGCGUCUGCACUCUCUCAGCACUCAGGAGCUGCAGCAGCAGCAGGGGGCGCUGCUGAGAGAGGGGAAGGCGUCUGCUGUGAGGGAGGAAGAGGAGAGACUCGUGUCGCUGAAGGCUGAGCUCGGCUCGCACAGAGGAGAGCUGAAACGGGUCCUGCAGGAGCUGCUGGCACAGCAGGAGGCGCUCAAGGACGCGAAAACCAAACGCACCCACACUCUGCAGCAGCUCCACAGGACGAAGGACGAGCUGCACAGGAAGAGGGACGAGGUGGAGGGAGCGAGGGAUGAGCUGCACGAGCUGGAGGGCGUGGUGGACAGGAAGAGGGAGGAGCUUGCCGAGCUGACGCAGGAAGUGGAGUCCCGCAGGAGAGAGGCCGAGUCGUGUCUCCGAGAGAAAAGUCGACAGCAAACAGAGCUGCAGGUGUCUGUUGGCGGUGCAGGUGGAGCUCGCUAAACAGAAGGAGAAACACAGCCACAACCAACUCCUUCAACAGGAAGUGAUGAGGGAAACAACAGCCAGUCAUCACCACCUAAACAACAAACUCUCCUGGACAUUCAACAAAACUCGCAAUCCUGACCUUCACAAACCAACUUUUUUGUGAAUGGUGGUGACUCACCUUGGCUACCUGGGCAGAAGAAACACUGGAGAAAAAGGGGAAAAAGGGCCGGGAUUCUGGUCAGGCUGAGGAAAAGACAACGUUGCACCCCGCUUCCCAGCAUUCUUCUAGCUAAGGUCCAGUCCUUGGAAAACAAACUGGAUGAACUAAGGGCUAGGAUAACUUUCCAGGGACAUUAAGAACGGCAACAUCUUUGUUUUCACAGAGACAUGGCUGGACCCCUCCGUCCCUGACGUGGCCAUUGUCCCUGAGGAGCUCUCCAUUCACCGCCGGGACAGAGCAAAAGACUCGGGUAAAUGUAGGGGAGGUGGCGUGUGCGUAAUGACCAACAAACGGUGGUGCACUGAUGUACAGAUAGUUUCGUCGGGGUGCUCUCCUGAUCUUGAACACCUUAUGAUCAGAUGCAGACCCUUUUAUCUGCCCAGGGAGUUUACAGCAGUAUUCUGUACCGCUGUUUACAUUCCCCCCCCACGCUGAAACCACACGGGCACUGGACAAGCUGUCUGACAUUAUCAACCAGCAGGAAACGUUACACCCGGAGGCUGCUUUUAUCGUGGCUGGCGACUUUAAUAAAGCCAACAUGAAGAAAGUUCUGCCGAAGUUUUACCAGCACGUAAACUUUCCAACGCAUGUUGAUAACAUCUUAGACCAUGUUUACACUCCGCACGCACGUGCCUGCAAAGCCCGCCCCCGACCGGCCUUCGGCAAAUCACAUCACUGCUUGGUUCUGCUGUUGCCAGACUAUAGGCAGAAGCUGAAAAGCGACCAGCCCAUGACGCGUUCAGUUCAACGCUGGACCGACCAAUCAGACAGCGCCCUGCGUCACUGCUUCAGCAUCACAGACUGGGAAGUCUUCCGGACUGCCGCUGACAACAACAUCAACAAUUAUGCCGAGUACGUAACAGACUUUAUUCAUAAAUGCAUCAAUGAGGUCGAACCGCGGGCUGUUGUACAAACUUACCCCAACCAGAAGCCGUGGGUUAACGGAGAGGUCUGCGCAGCGCUCAGAGCGCAGACUGCAGCCUUUGAAUCCGGAAACCCAGGUGAAUACGAAACAUCCCGGUAUGCACUCAGGAAAGCAAUAAAGACGGCCAAGGGACAGUACAAAGAAAAGGUGGAACUGCUACAGCAACUCCAACACCAGGAACAUGUGGAGUGGUCUGAAGACUGUCACAGACUACAAGGGAAACAGCGGCAGAGUGAGGGAGGUAACUGCUUCUCUACCUGACGAGCUCAACACCUUCUAUGCACGCUUUGAUAAACAUAUAUCUUAGAAGCUUUUGCUGGAAGAGGACAGCUGCCCUCUUCAGAUAUCUCAGUCGUGUUUAAACACUUCAGGAAAGUAAACACUCGGAAAGCUCCUGGACCAGACAACAUUCCAGGUCGUGUUUUCAAAGCAUGUGCCCACGAGCUGGCAGGUGUCUUCACAGACAUUU